AAAAAGGUCUCGUUGGUGACCAGCGGAGGGUCAUUACCGAGUUUACAACUCCCAAACCCCAAUGUGAACGUUACCAAACUGUUGCCUCGGCGGGAUUUCUGCCCCGGGCGCGUCGCAGCCCCGGACCAAGGCGCCCGCCGGAGGACCAAUUUACAAACUCUUUUGUAUAUCCCAUCGCGGAUUCUUUACAUUCUGAGCUUUCUCGGCGCUCCUAGCGAGCGUUUCGAAAAUGAAUCAAAACUUUCAACAACGGAUCUCUUGGUUCUGGCAUCGAUGAAGAACGCAGCGAAAUGCGAUAAGUAAUGUGAAUUGCAGAAUUCAGUGAAUCAUCGAAUCUUUGAACGCACAUUGCGCCCGCCAGUAUUCUGGCGGGCAUGCCUGUCCGAGCGUCAUUUCAACCCUCGAACCCCUCCGGGGGGUCGGCGUUGGGGAUCGGCACUUACCUGCCGGCCCCGAAAUACAGUGGCGGUCUCGCCGCAGCCUCUCCUGCGCAGUAGUUUGCACACUCGCACCGGGAGCGCGGCGCGUCCACGGCCGUAAAACAACCCAAACUUCUGAAAUGUUGACCUCGGAUCAGGUAGGAAUACCCGCUGAACUUAAGCAUAUCAAUAAGCGGAGGA
rnacentral:rRNA from 1 species